AGUGAACGCUGGCGGUAGGCCUAACACAUGCAAGUCGAACGGCAGCACAGUAAGAGCUUGCUCUUACGGGUGGCGAGUGGCGGACGGGUGAGGAAUACAUCGGAAUCUACUUUUUCGUGGGGGAUAACGUAGGGAAACUUACGCUAAUACCGCAUACGACCUACGGGUGAAAGCAGGGGAUCUUCGGACCUUGCGCGAUUGAAUGAGCCGAUGUCGGAUUAGCUAGUUGGCGGGGUAAAGGCCCACCAAGGCGAGGCUCCGUAGCUGGUCUGAGAGGAUGAUCAGCCACACUGGAACUGAGACACGGUCCAGACUCCUACGGGAGGCAGCAGUGGGGAAUAUUGGACAAUGGGCGCAAGCCUGAUCCAGCCAUACCGCGUGGGUGAAGAAGGCCUUCGGGUUGUAAAGCCCUUUUGUUGGGAAAGAAAAGCAGCAGGUUAAUACCCCGCUGUUCUGACGGUACCCAAAGAAUAAGCACCGGCUAACUUCGU
rnacentral:rRNA from 1 species